GCAAUGUCUCACCAGUGAGGUAGUGGUCAGGCUCCCCAGCCUCAGAGGCCCGUCCAGGCUUUCUCUGCCGCCAGGGUCACGUUGCUCAACUGCCUGUAGGGAGCUGCAGCCCUGGAAAGGAGCCCAGGCUGUCGGGCUGCCAGGUCCUGGCUGGUUUUCUACUCAGCGACAGAGGCGAAUGUCAUUCCUCGGAGUGAAUCACCAGAUGCCUUCCCAUUCAAUGAGUCUGCAGAGCGCUGAAGAAGCAGACAUAAGGGUGCCAGUCAUUCUCUACAUGGUCUAAAGAGGUGAACUGAGGCACAGAGAAGUCUACACUCACACACACAGUUCUCUCCCCUACCUUGCAGAGAACUAGUGAAACUGUGGUGAUGAUAGAGCCAGAAGCAGAAUCUGCUGCUCAGAUGACUUGAAACUGAGACAUCUGGGUCAUAAACCACAACGGAAGCCAAUAUGGGGAAAUUGCCUGGGGUUACUUUACAUGCACAAAGACUAUGCUUCUGACCCUCUUUCGCAUUCAGAAUCUCUGGGUAGUGUGGAAGCCCCUUCGUGAGCUCACCCAGGAGGAGGUGGUGUGCUGUGGAAAAAGCCCUGGGUUACAGUCAAGAGACCAGUCCUGUCGAACCAGCUGAGGGGCCUGGGAAAAGUUAGGUAACCUGGGAUUAUAUUUCAGAAACAGAGGUCCCCUGAGACCUCAUGACACCCAACUUGGGAGCCUACCCACACUGUUAACUGUGAUUUUUCUGUAAGAAUGGCUGAUUUUUGCUCAUGCUUCACAACUCCUUAAAUCCUAUCAAACAAGCAAUGGACGAUCUCAACCCCCAACCCCAUACUUCUUAUUAAGUGGCCCCAGGCCCAACAUUAGCAGCAGCCAGACUAGAUUCAUAGCUUAGCUUUGUCUGGGAAUCUUCAAGCCCAGCAAAAGUAGCAGCCAUCUCAGAUUGCUUUAUGGCUUAGGAAGGGCAGCCAAGGCAAAACAUAGGUGAGGGCUAACCUUGGUUUGCACCACCCAGGAAACCCCAUGGCCAGUGCACCCAGUGGACAUCUACAGACUAUGUCAGAGCACCACCACCCUGCCCCUGCACACCUGAUCCUCCACAGAUGGUAGAAGUUGGUGGUCAGUGGUCACAGCUAAUCCUUGCAGGUGGAUGGCCUGGGUAAAGCGCUCCCAUUGAUCUGCCAACAGCAACCAAGGCUCAACUACAAGAGGAGGGUGUACUCAGCCCACACCCAAGGUGAACCUCAAGUACCCAGCUUGAGUGACAGGGAAGGCUGUGCCACCGGACCCUACAGGACACCUACUGCAUUAGGCCAACUACCAAGACACAAAGUCAAAGCAACUCUACCUAAUACAUAGAAACAAACACAGGGAGGCUGCCAGAAUGAGGAGACAAAGAAACAAGACCUGAAUGAAAGAACAGAUCAAAACUCCAGAAAAAGAACUAAACAAAAUGGAGAUAAACAAUCUGUCAGAUGCAGAGCUCAAAACACUGGUUAUAAGGAUGCUCAAGAAGCUUAGUGAGGACCUCAAGAGCAUAAAAAAGAUCUAGUCAGAAACGAAAAAUACACUAAUUGAAAUAAAGAACAAUUUACAGGGAAACGAUAGCAGAAUGAAGCUGAGAAUCAAAUUGAUGAUUUGAAACAUAAGGAAGCAAAAAACAACCAACCAGAACAAGAAGAAGAGAAUAUUCAGAAAACAAGGAUAGUGUAAUCAGCCUCUGUGACAACUUUAAGCAUUCCAACAUUUGCAUCAUAGGGGUGCCAGGAGGAGAAGAGAAAGAGCAAGAAGUUGGAAAUCUAUUUGAAAAAUGAUGACAGAAAACCUCCCUAAUUUGGUGAAGGAAAUAGACAUGUAAGUCCAGGAAGCACAGACAGUCCCAAACAAGAUGGAUGCAAAGAGGCCCACUCCAAGACACAUCAUAAUUAAAAUGCCAAAGUUAAAAAUAAACUUAAAAGCAGCAAGAGAAAAGAAGUUAGUUACCUAUAGGAGAGUUCCCAUAAGACUGUUAGCUGAUAUCUCAAAAAAACUUUGCAGGCUAGACUGGUCUAGAAUAAUAUUCAAAGUCAUGACAAACAGGGACCUACAACCGAGAUUGCUCUACCCAGCAAAGCUAUCAUUUAGUUUCGAAGGGCAAAUGAAGUGCUUCCUAGAUAAGAAAAAACUAAAGGAGUUCAUAUUACCAAACCAUUAUUACAUGAAAUGUUAAAGGGACUUAUUUAAGAAAAAGAUCAAAACUAUGGACAAUAAAAUGGUAAAAAAAAAAUACAAAUCUAUCAACAAUUGAAUCUAAAAAACAAACUAAGCAAAAAGAAGAAGAGACAGAACCAUGGAUAUAGAGAGCAUUUUGAUGUUUACCAGAUGGAGGUGUGAGAUAAGGGGGAAUGGGUAAGGACAUGAAUGGAUUAAGAAGUACAAAUAAGUAAUUACAGAACAGCCACAGGGUUGUAAAGUACAGUAUAAAAAAUGGAGCAACCAAAGAACUUAUAUGCAUGACCCGUGGACAUGAACAAUGGUGUGGGACUGCCAG